rnacentral:rRNA from 1 species
CUCCAGUUGGAUGCAUGUCCUUCUGGGAAAGAUUCAUCGGUAUGGGAUGGGGUCGCGUCCUAUCAGCUUGAUGGCGGGGUAACGGCCCACCAUGGCUUCGACGGGUAGCCGGCCUGAGAGGGCGACCGGCCACAUUGGGACUGAGAUACGGCCCAGACUCCUACGGGAGGCAGCAGUGGGGAAUAUUACACAAUGGGCGCAAGCCUGAUGCAGCGACGCCGCGUGCGGGAUGACGGCCUUCGGGUUGUAAACCGCUUUUGACUGGGAGCAAGCCCUUCGGGGUGAGUGUACCUUUCGAAUAAGCACCGGCUAACUACGUGCCAGCAGCCGCGGUAAUACGUAGGGUGCAAGCGUUAUCCGGAAUUAUUGGGCGUAAAGGGCUCGUAGGCGGUUCGUCGCGUCCGGUGUGAAAGUCCAUCGCUUAACGGUGGAUCCGCGCCGGGUACGGGCGGG